rnacentral:lncRNA from 1 species
GGGGAGACAAAAAGGGGAUUCACGCACAACAAAGACGGCUUCUUCAUCUUCUUCUUCGGCAGCUUUUCAUACUUUUGUUUUUUUUGAACUUCCUUUACAUUAUGCAGAACUAAAUUUCCUUUUGUUAGUGGAUUGAUGUAGUACUUUGGAUUAUAUUUUCUGAACCUUUUCAAUUGAUGUCAAGUUCAUUUUAAUUAUCCCAGUGUUCUAUUUAUGUUUUAAUGUCUAUUCUAUGAGCAGUUUCACAGUUGGGA